rnacentral:rRNA from 1 species
AUUGAACGCUGGCGGCAUGCUUUACACAUGCAAGUCGAACGGCAGCGCGGGCUUCGGCCUGGCGGCGAGUGGCGAACGGGUGAGUAAUGCAUCGGAACGUGCCCGGUCGUGGGGGAUAACACUUCGAAAGAAGUGCUAAUACCGCAUACGAUCUGAGGAUGAAAGCGGGGGACCUUCGGGCCUCGCGCGAUCGGAGCGGCCGAUGUCAGAUUAGGUAGUUGGUGGGGUAAAGGCCUACCAAGCCGACGAUCUGUAGCUGGUCUGAGAGGACGACCAGCCACACUGGGACUGAGACACGGCCCAG